GGGAGCGCGCGGCUAUGGCGGCUUGACCCAUUGGCGAUGGGAUAGAAGGAGAGGCUUUGCUUCACAAACCCCUGGGGCAGUAGAUCCCAGUGUCCCAGCAGGACCCUCGGAAGCAGCAAGCUGUAAGGGCAGGGAGGAGCAGAAAUUCCAGGAUGGUGGACAAAAUAUGUCAGAAGCUCUAUGGCAGCAGUUGGAACUGCGCGAUGCCCCAGCAGGGCAGGGAAUGUGAGGCCCAGCAGCAGAAGAAAGGCAGCUCCCAUCUGGAUUAUGGUGGUGGCAGAGAAUUCCUUUCCCCAGGCUGUGGGUCUGACUGUCCUGCUCUGAAGCCCAGAGAGAGAGAACCCCCAGCUGCCCCAACCCUUGUCUUUUUUUCCUGCCUCUAUUCUCACGGUAUCUCUGUCUCACUGCCAGAAACUCCCAGAAAGCAGAGUUCCCCCUCCCGCUGCCUCAACCACCCAGUCAUCAGUGCUUCUUAGCAACUCAGUGGGAAAAAACUCCACAAGUAAUAAGGAAAGUAAAACCCAACCUCCAACACCACUCUAGGCUGAUUUUAUUUAGUGUUUAAGUUUGUCCAGAUUUAGAAGGGAUAUAAAGAGUUUUUAUGAUCACUCCAAGCAAUACAACACUCGUACAUGCCACCUUUAUAUAUAAUCUUUCCUGACUGUUGGUUUAAUUAGUUUCAAUUAAUAUUUUUAUUAUUUCAUAAUAUUAUUACUUAGGUGAUGUCAUGGUUUCAAACUAACGUUACAGUUAAUUACUUUACACUUUAGUUACGUUACACUGAAUGCAAGUGACAGUGCAGGUUCAUCAGCAAUCUUCCUACUUAUCUGCAGACUGCAAAACUGAUAGUGAUUUUUACUGUGGUAGUAGUGAUGUCUUCUGCCUAGAGUGGAGUUUACAGGCAACAACUGAGCAUGGUAUUGCAGCAUUUAUACCUGUGAACACAAUAGGAAAGCAUGUUGGUGCAUAAUGUGAAAUCAGACUUGCUUUCAGACAGUUACAGUCAAAGGAAAUGCAAGAAAAUCAUGUAGAGGUGGUACAGGCUUUUUAAGAGGGCACAGAAGGACAUUUUGAUGUUCACUGCAGUUAAGCAGUGUAAAUUGGUUCAGUUUUAUUAAUAAACUAUAUUUGGUUUGUACCUAAAUUUUUCAUGAAUUGUUAGUGUAUAGUGAACAGUGCUUCCAUCAGUUCUGUGUCUCUUCUGCAGAGCAAAGUAAAUAAUUGAUUUUUUUUUUCUUACUCUCAAAAUGAUUUGCACCAUACUAAAUAGGGGGGAAAAACAAAACAAAACAAAACAAACAAACAAACAAACAAAGCAAAAAAACCCACCAAACUUUUAAGAAUUUGCAUCACUAAAGAAAGAAGCAAAAACGUCUGCCUGCAGCUCAUGUAACUAGACACGGAAAAUCUGGAAAAUCUCUUAAUAGAUACAGAAUAUACAAGGAAAAACGUAGAAGUGAUGGUUUUCCUUUAACAGGCAUAGAAACAAACAAAAGCACCUUCCUGCUUAUAAAAUCUUGUCUGUGGUAGAAAUGUUGACAGAAAAGAAAUUUUGCAAGAAAAACACACACACAAAAAAAUCACACUUUUAACUGAUGUACUUAUAUGAACAAAAGUUUGCACAGACCCAUGAGUGGCUUCUAGCUGUUUCUUAGGUAACCCAAGGUCUUAAGAUGGAAGACCUAGAGAACUCUAAAUUAGUCCAAUGUGUGAAUAUCAUUUACACCUGUUACCUUUUAGCAAGAGAAGCUACAGCCAGAAACACACAGCACAUAAUCCUAUAGAGAGCCUUUCAAAGAGAAAAGGUUGAUUUAAUUUGAAGCAUACAUCUCCUUAGCCAGAAAAGAAAAAUUACAUAUAUGUAGAGUGUUUUACAGGGACAAAUAUAGUAGUUCUCCUGCUGUGUGUUCUCACUUUGAAACAAAUGGAAAGAAACAAGACAACGAUUAAAUAAAACUCCAGAUUAUUGAAAAUAUUUUCUAUUAAAAAGUAUAUAAAUACAAAAAAUAUGUCAUUUAGAAAUGUGAGCCAAAAUAUGCUUAAAAAAUAGACUACCAGAUUUUUCAUUGAUUAAUGGAAGGCACUGGUUAAAAAUUUUCAAAUAAUGAAAUUCUGCUUUAUAUUUUCACCUGCAAAUGAAAGAAUUACUCAUUUGAAUGCACUAACUGCUUUCCAUUUUAGAGGGCAGAUACAAAUGAAUAAGCUUUUCUAAAGUUCUUCUAAAUAAAUAGAAAUGCCGAUCAGUUACCCCAUAAUGUCAGUUGCCAAAACUUGGUCUCCAUUGUCUUUGAUGCAUAUCUCACUCCCUGUCCUUCUGGGCUUCCCUUUACAGCACCUAGCACCAGCAUGGCAAUUAAUGAGUGCAUCCCUAAGCAACAAGUGGUGAGUCGAGCACCAGACCCAGAACCUGAGAACUACCUCAAUAGUGCUGAAAAGGGGGAAGGAUCACCUCAAUCAACCUCGUGGCACUACUGCCAGUUCUAUUUCAGUGGACAAACAGAUGGAAUAGAAGUGUGGAACUCUAAGGUUUGAACAGGGGUCACAUUUGAAGAGCUGGUGCACAUGGAAAACUACCUGUGAGAGCUAGUGUCUACUUACAGAUUUAAAGCAACGUAGCUAGACAAUUCCUUUCCUAGCUUGGGACCAAAGACAACCACCCAAAUUUCAGGCCCAAGAGCAUAAACAGUAUGCACUGAAGACAGAAAAAGAAGAUGGAAUGUGACUUCAUAACCUAAAGCUGUAACUGGACAGUUAACUCCAAUAUGGUAAUGGACCAGAAAUUACAGAAGUGAGAGACAUGUGACCAGUGGUCCAUUUUGUGACCAUUUUGAGUUUAUCUUGGGUGUAGCCCUGGCUGGCCUCUUGUACUGCCCAGGGUAUAUCCAUUGAGGCCUUUUAAUAAAUACCUAUUUAUUCUUUGAUGCCGUCUAGCCUGUGUUAUAGGUCAGCCUACAGAAGGCAUCAAUAUGCAUACAUAUAUUACACACUGUAACAUAUAUAUACAUCAUAUACAUGUAUUUAACACCAGUCACACUGGAACAACUUGUAUUGAGAUAAUAAGGACUUUUUCAGUAGAAGCACCCUUAUUAUAAAAAAAACCCCCAUGAUUUAUUUUAUCACGGAAGAAAUAUAAUUGUUUAUUUACCAUUUAUGACUUUUCCCAUUCUCUUUAUUAUGUGAUUAGUGAAAUCUCACCUCCAAUAUACUUGUGUUCAGUCCACAGGAUGCCUACUUCAUUGCUUUUUUUUGUCUUUGUUAUUUUUAUCUUAUGGCUAUACACUAUAUAUACACUAUAGCAACCACUGUGAUUCCAGCUCAUUGAUAAGUGACAAACAUUUAAGUUCUUUCCAUUAACAGAGUGGACCAAAAUUGUUGAACGCUUAAUAAGAGAUAAAAAUUGCUCAUAGUAAAAUCACUUCUGAUUUGAUUUGGGAAGCAGCAGGGAGAGAUGAUGAGCAAGGAGGCAAGCAGAUGUGUUGGCUGGUAUUUAGUGUCUAAAUGAGGAGGAACAUCAGAUGGGGACAUACACUGACCUUCCAGAACUGCCUUAUAUGAGACACCUUGAUUUUGGCAAGGGAGUAACCAUUAUGAAAGGGUUAUAAAGGCAACUGGAAUUGAGAACUUCUUCAUAUUUUUCAGCUCAGUCCAGGUGAAAUCAGCAGCA